rnacentral:rRNA from 1 species
CCCUUAGAUGUUCUGGGCUGCACGCGCGCUACACUGAUGCGCUCAACGAGUUUAUGACCUUGCCCGGAAGGGUUGGGUAAUCUUUUCAAAACGCAUCGUGAUGGGGAUAGAUUAUUGCAAUUAUUAAUCUUCAACGAGGAAUUCCUAGUAAGCGCGAGUCAUCAGCUCGUGCUGAUUACGUCCCUGCCCUUUGUACACACCGCCCGUCGCUCCUACCGAUUGAGCGAUCCGGUGAAUAAUUCGGACUGCGGCAAUGUUCAGCUCCUGAAUGUUGCUGCGGAAAGUUUAGUGAACCUUAUCACUUAGAGGAAGGAGAAGUCGUAACA